GGGCAGCUGGCAGCAGGGAUCGAGGCCACAGACAGCGGAAGCCCACAGCUGAGAGUCAGCGCCACAGCCAUGACCCCUGGGGACCCCGCCCCGCCUCAGGCCUCGCGUCCAGGCCUAUCUAAACCACUGCACUCAGGCGCUUUAAGGGCCCAAGGACGCCACCUCCCCAUGACCCUCGUCACCUCCAACCCGUCGUCCCACCAAAGCCAACGCAGUCUUCCCAUGAACAGGCCACGUCCGUGCAGUGAGGAGGCCACUCGCUCACGACCUAAGAAAGAGGCGCUGGUCUAAGUGCCAGGGCACGCUCGAGACCCAAGCAGAUGUGUGUGGAGCUUCCCAGUUCUGUAGCUAAUCCUAAAGAUGAAAAUGCAAAGGUGGCCUGUGGUGAGUGCUCUGAAGGAAGCCAGGACUAACGAGAGCACAGAGCAGGUUCAACCACAGGCAAGCACUCCGCCCGCAGAGGGAUGGAGGGGUGGGUGCGUGGAUCAACGGACAGACGGACAUACAGGUAGAUGAGGGGAUGGAUGUGUGGAUGGAUGGGGGAUGGAGGGGUGGGUGCGUGGAUCAACGGACAGACGGACAUACGGGUGGAUGGGUGAAAGGAGGGGGGCACGGAGAGAUGGAUAGAGGGAUGGACGGAUGAAUGGAUGGGGGAGGGAUGGACGCAAAGAUAGGCAGGUGGAUGGAUGGAAGGAAAGAUGGACCCACAGAUAGGUGGGUGGAUAGAAGGAUGGAGGCACAGGUGGACGGACAGACGGACAGAUGGACGGAUGGCUGGCCUGCUGUUCCCUUUGUAGCAGUCCAUGUUUCUCAAGGCCAUUCCACAUUUUCUCAGUGGACUCUCAAAACACUGCUAAGAUGUUCACAGGAAGUGCGACCUUCUGUUUUUGCCAGUGGGAAAAGGCAGGCCCCAGGAGGGGGCGCAGUGGCCCACUACCACACGCAGGUGAGCAUCAGGGGCCUAAGACCCUCACUCACUCCUGGCAGGAGUCUCAGACUCUCCACCCUCCCUCCCGGCCCCUGCGCCCCCCGCCUGCCACUGCUACCCCAGCCACGGCUUGGCUCAGCUUGCUCCAGCGAGAGUUUGACCAGUAGAGGGCCACAAGAAACGGCCCAUUCCCGAGGGAGACGUCACCGAAGUCGGCCAGUGUAAGGGAGGUCCCUCUAGCCUGGCCCGGUGUCUCUGGCCGCUGAACACCUGCGGUGAGAGCCCCGCUCCCCAGGCCCGGCUGCAGCGACCCCCGGGGACCAGGCAUCACUCCACAGUUUUCUAUGUGGUCCCAGAGUGUGACAGAACGUGCAACCAUUAGGAGCCUUGCCAUGACCCGCGACGUCCUAGGUUAGCGGCACUAAGGGGGUGGGAACCCAACGCCAGGAUCGUAUUUGGAGGUGGGGCCUCUGGGAAGGGAUUUAUGAUUAGAUUUAGAUCCGGCCCCCGGACUGAAUCCUGACGACUUUACAGAAAGACUACACAGACCGACCUCUGCAUCCCUUUAUAAUUUUCUGUACUCUCUGACAAUUCCGUAGUUUUCUUCAAAGCCAUCCAAAAACAGCCUGUCACCAACACUAAUCGUGUUGAGUGAAAGGAGUGACCACGUGGGAAGACGCAGCGUGUGAGUGACACGAGCACUCCGCUGGGAAACACGACUCUCCGGCGGCACGUGAGAACACGAGCCGUCAACACGGCCGGCGGGGCCGCCGCGCGGCAGAUGGAGCAGGCGACUUUAAAGAUAGCUCAGCGGCGUGAACGGGGCUCCGCGCUGCGCUGCAUCUGGGUCAGGCAUCACAUGAUCUCCCGGGGACCCAGAACAAGCCCCCGGCUCCCUCCGGGCCUCGAGCCCAGCCCACAACCCAAGGCACAGAGGGUGGGGGGCUCCGUGGGGGCUUCCCCGCCAGGCUCAGGAGAACCCCAGGGAGCUUCGGCACCUGGCAGCUCAGAGUCAGGGCCUUGCACGAGGUCAGCUCCUCCAACCCCUUCAUUGCCGGGGGAGGGAGUGUGUGAGAGACUUUAGCAGGGGGUCCAGGGACAGUGACAGGCGGGCAGAGGCCUUGGGAAGGGCAGGCCUGCCAGUCCUGCUGCUAGUCCUUUCCUGGGGUCCCCUAGACGUGGACAGCCCACUGCUCCCCGUCAGCAACGUGAAGAACUCGAAAGGUUCUUUAUUCUUCUGAUCUCGGCUGGCAAAGCCGCCCGCAGGUGAAACUGAAGGAAUCGCUCACGCCCAACCCCCGGGGACUCCUCCCAGCCGCUCCUGUCGCGGUUCAGCUGGCGGGCAGCUUGCCUCUCUGUCCAGCACAGCGGCUGGGCCCUGACUUCCACACCUGCCACCUGCCACUCCCCAGGGUGGGCAGCCCGAGGGCCAGGCCCUGCUCCGGGGACCAGCACAGCCCUGAGCACACACACUCACACGUGGCCUGAGAGAUGACUACGCCAAUAAGCAGAAUGCUAGAAAACUCAGCCACACCCACCAGGAGGAGGGUGUACGGCCUCCGCCCCUGGUGAAACCAAAGGGGCUUCACAUGGCCUGGCCACAGGCUCCCGUGGACAAGGCCCUGCCACACACCCCUCCUGGUCAAGGGGACCAUGCCCCAUGCCCCCUGCCGUGGGUUUCAGUCCUGUCCCUCACGGAAUUAUUUAAGAAAGGUGAUCCCGCGCUCCCGUAGGCUUGGCCACACUCCUCGCACGACAAAGUCUGCUGGCCACUCUGCCCCCGAAUGCAACCUUCGGUGUGGCCUCACAGGCCUGUGCUGGCCUCUCCCCAGGCUGUGCGUGCGUGGGAGUCAGAACCUGCUGUCACUCUCAUGUGCGCAGGGCGGGGUGUCCCAGGCUCGCCAUCCCCAUGUCCCUGGGCGAGGCCCCCUCCCUCCCCAACUGGCAAGGUGUGCAGACACUCCAACCCGACUGGGGGGCACCUGGGCAGUUUAACUACCCGCUAAUUGCUAACUAACUGGUCCCCUGACAGGCCAAGGCUGCUCAGGAUGCAACUGCCAAUCACCAGCUGGCCGUUGACCUUGAACUUGCUCCCCGUCUCCUUCCUCCGCCCCACCCCAGGGGCCUUCUUACCCCAAGCAAGCACUACCACUGACCGCCCAGAAAUAAGGGCCCUCACGGGUCGCCUGUGUCUGGCAGGUGCUCCCACCUCUUGCGCCCUGCCCUGCCUCAUGACAAGAGGGGACCCCGCGGACCCAGUCCCAGCUGAGACAGUUAGCACCACCCGAUGGAAUUCCAACGUGACCUUCAAGAAGUGACACUGAUUAUACGAGACUCACUUAAUGAAGAUGUGAUGAUGACUCUGCUGCUCACCAGUCCAAUCUGGUCUCUCCCUUAGCUUGGGAAGAAUGAAUGGAGGCGCACGGUGCAGGGACACAGCCUUAAUGUGGCCGUCCCAUCUGUGAAGACCUCCAGAGCCACCAGUAAAUAUUCUGCUGCUCAGUUUUGGCUGCUAAUCAACAGCCUCUCAGCGGCAAUGACCUUCACCUCCAAAGAGAAACAACACGCUCUUUCCAGGCCACCCAGGAGGCCCCUUGACAGCCCCGCCAUCCCCCGCAGCCUUUGCUGAGGAGAGCUUAACAGCACAGGUGUGAGACCACCCACAUGUCGUCCUCCUCCGACGAGGUCCACCUGAGGACACACCGCGGGCACACAAGCAAGUCACGAGGCGCUCCCGUUACCCUACGAGCAAGGCCUCCUGCCUUGACGAACUUCCUGAAGACGACCCGGGACACGGGGCGCCGCUCCACCUGACGCAGGGAACAGGCAGCGGGGGACCCUCUGGGCAAGUCCGGCGUCUCCCAGGCCUUUCGGGGUCCUGCAGCUGACAUGUCUAUUUCUUCCACCCGGGGACGCUGCCACCUGCUAACUGGCUUCUUGAACGGACCCCGUCCAGUUAAAGCUUCCAGAAGCUGUCACUCCUCCUCCGAGUGCCUUCACAGCUGCUUCGCCAGGGAGCGGGGCUUGGCCAGCUCCUGAUCAGCUCGCAGGGCGUCCAGACCACACACAGCGGCUGCAACGCUGUCUCUGUCCACACGGCAAAUGCCCUCCUCAGUGCCACCCCAGGCACCGAUGGGGUAGCUACUGCUGGCCACACAUGGGGCUUCCUACUGCCGGCCACACGCAGGGCUCUCCUUCUGCCGGCCACACGCGGGGCUGUCCUGCUGCCGGCCACACGCAGGGCUGUCCUGCCGGCCACACGCGGGGCUCUCCUGCUGCCGGCCACACGCGGGGCUGUCCUGCUGCCGGCCACACGCGGGGCUGUCCUGCUGCCGGCCACACGCAGGGCUGUCCUGCUGCCGGCCACAUGCGGGGCUCUCCUGAAACAGGCUCCCACGGGCUCCCCGCCUGUGAGCUCCGUUGCUGGCUGCCUGUCCCGCCUUUGGGACAGCACCCAAGCCCAGCAAGGCCUCCUUCCGACAGGACAGAGCCCAGUCUCCACCCUCUGGCACAUCCCACCUGCAGGGGGCAGCAGUCUCCCUGGGCUCAGUUUCUUGCCAGGAGCUGGUCCACCCCAAGAGCCUUUGGCUACCUGGGGAUGCGUGGGGGAUGGGGCAGCAACAGAAACCACACAGACCCUCCGUGGCUGGCAUUGCCACUGUAACCCGUGGCGGAGCUCGGUGGGGGGCCACUGCUCUCCAUCUCUCCUCCAGAAAGUUCCAGGCAAGGGCGAGGCCCACCCGGGGUGAGCACUGGCGGCUAAACCUUAAGCAGUCACUUGGGACGGGAUGCUGUGGCCAGGCGGUGGCGCCAUCCGCACCUCCCAAGGAGGCACACAGACCCCUGCCCGCUGCCGCUAGUGCCACAGGCACGAUUCAUCCGUGCACCCCACAGCCACACCACCAGGUCCCCCAAAUGUCCUCACCGGCCCAGAGGCCCCCUCCCUCCUGGUCAACAACCCGCCAAGGCAGGCGCUUCUAUCCCCCAUGGUCUCGCCACCGCCAAGCUUUUAGGCAGUGUCUAGGAGAGCUGGGGCCACUGCGGGUGAGCUCACUGCUGCCGUCUGGGCAAAGCAGGAGGACCGCGAGCGGCCACUUCCCCACCAGGCUCUGCUCCCACAGAUAAGGGCCCCGGGCCAAGCCCUGCUCCUUAUCACAGCGCAGGCACUGUCCCUGCUCACCCUGAGCCCUGGCCUUCAGUCCUGCUGCCUCAUAGAGUCAUUCAGACGAGGCCCCGGGAGGAGGCAGGGCUCGCCACCUGCUGGAACCACAGCGCCUGCGCCGCUCUGCCCAGGAGCGCAAUUCCCCGUGUGGCCCCGCAGGGCGUGGGGCCGCCUCCUGCGCACGCUGCGAUGUAUGGAAAGAAGCCGCUGUGGCUCUCGCCCACCCAGGAGGUGCUGUGUCCACCACCCCCCUAACCUCCGGGCGGGAUCCCUCCACCUUACAUGGAUAAACAGGCCACCCCGCUCCGCCUGUGUCUCCUACCAGCUUCCCUCCCUCCCCUUGUGUAACCUCCUCCAGGCAGCCCGCUGGGCCUCCCAGCCUUCCUAGGCUGAUGUGUGUCUCUGCAGGGCUGGGGUCUCUGCCUGAAGACCCUCCCAGUGCUCCCUGACGUGUGCACAUCACGGUAACUCCAUGCUACCCCUGGGGCCCGGGCAUCCUGACCACUGCACCCCUCUUUCUUGUUUUCUAGACUCUGGACCCCUGCCUGUUCUGUGCAUUCCAGAGAGUAACUCUCUCGGACUUCAGAGAAGGGAGGCGAGCCCGAGUGAGCUGGCCUGGGCCAGGUGAGCCCUCCAAGAAAGGCAGGUGCUUCCUGAGGUCAGAGAUGGGGACGUGACAGGGACUCCACAUAAGGGACGCUUCUCCACUGCCGGCUUGGAAGAUGGAAAGGCCACAUGGCACAAAUGCAAGCAACCAGACCCGGCGUUGUGGCACAGCAGGUAAAGCCACCGCCUGCGACACCAGCAUCCCACAUGGGCGCCGGUUCGAGUCCUGCUGCUCUGUUUCUGAGCCAGCUCUCUGCUAUGGCCUGGGAAAGCAGUGGAAGAUGGCCCAAGUGCUUGGGCCCCUGCACCUGCAUGGGAGACCUGGAGGAACCUCCUGGCUCCUAGCUUCAGCCUGGUUCAGCCCUGGCUGCUGCAGCCAUUUGGAAAGAAAACCAGCAAUAGAAGAUCGAUAGAUCAAUCGAUCGAUCGAUCUCUCUCUCUCUCUCUA